UGGGGAAUAUUGCACAAUGGGCGCAAGCCUGAUGCAGCCAUGCCGCGUGUAUGAAGAAGGCCUUCGGGUUGUAAAGUACUUUCAGCGGGGAUGAAGGGAGUAAAGUUAAUACCUUUGCUCAUUGACGUUACCCGCAGAAGAAGCGCCGGCUAACUCCGUGCCAGCAGCCGCGGUAAUACGGAGGGUGCAAGCGUUAAUCGGAAUUACUGGGCGUAAAGCGCACGCAGGCGGUUUGUUAAGUCAGAUGUGAAAUCCCCGGGCUCAACCUGGGAACUGCAUCUGAUACUGGCAAGCUUGAGUCUCGUAGAGGGGGGUAGAAUUCCAGGUGUAGCGGUGAAAUGCGUAGAGAUCUGGAGGAAUACCGGUGGCGAAGGCGGCCCCCUGGACGAAGACUGACGCUCAGGUGCGAAAGCGUGGGGAGCAAACA
rnacentral:rRNA from 1 species